GAUGAACGCUGGCGGCGUGCCUAAUACAUGCAAGUCGAGCGAACAGACGAGGAGCUUGCUCCUUUGACGUUAGCGGCGGACGGGUGAGUAACACGUAGGUAACCUACCUAUAAGACUGGGAUAACUUCGGGAAACCGGAGCUAAUACCGGAUAAUAUUUCGAACCGCAUGGUUCGAUAGUGAAAGAUGGCUUUACUAUCACUUAUAGAUGGACCUGCGCCGUAUUAGCUAGUUGGUAAGGUAACGGCUUACCAAGGCAACGAUACGUAGCCGACCUGAGAGGGUGAUCGGCCACACUGGAACUGAGACACGGUCCAGACUCCUACGGGAGGCAGCAGUAGGGAAUCUUCCGCAAAGGGCGAAAGCCUGACGGAGCAACGCCGCGUGAGUGAUGAAGGUCUUCGGAUCGUAAAACUCUGUUAUUAGGGAAGAACAAACGUGUAAGUAGCUGUGCACGUCUUGACGGUACCUAAUCAGAAAGCCACGGCUAACUACGUG
rnacentral:rRNA from 1 species